rnacentral:rRNA from 1 species
GACAGAGGGGCAAGCGUUGCUCGGAAUCACUGGGCGUAAAGGGCGCGUAGGCGGGAUGGCAAGUCGGUCGUGAAAUCCUUCGGCUCAACCGAAGAACGUCGCCGAUACUGCCGUUCUUGAGGGAUGCAGAGGAGAUUGGAAUUCCCGGUGUAGCGGUGAAAUGUGUAGAGAUCGGGAGGAACACCGGUGGCGAAGGCGGCAUCCUGGACCGAUACUGACGCUGAGGAGCGAAAAGCCAGGGGGAGCAAACGGGG